GCCUUUAUAGCUCAGUGGUAGAGCGCGUCACUCGUAGGAAUCGGAUUCCACUUUGCGAAAUGACGAGGUCCACGGUUCAAUCCCGUGUGGAGGCA